AUUGAACGCUGGCGGCAGGCCUAACACAUGCAAGUCGAACGAGUGGCGGACGGGUGAGUAAUGUCUGGGAAACUGCCUGAUGGAGGGGGAUAAAUACUGGAAACGGUAGCUAAUACCGCAUAACAUCCGCUGUGCCCAGAUGGGAUUAGCUUGGUGGUGGGGGAACGGCUCACCAAGGCGACGAUCCCUAGCUGGUCUGAGAGGAUGACCAGCCACACUGGAACUGAGACACGGUCCAUACUCCUACGGGAGGCAGCAGUGGGGAAUAUUGCACAAUGGGCUCAAGCCUGAUGCAGCCAUGCCGCGUGUAUGAAGUAGGCCUGCGGGUUGUAAAGUACUUUCACCGGGGAGGCGUUCCCCGCAGAAGAAGCACCGGCUAACUCCGUGCCAGCAGCCGCGGUAAUUC
rnacentral:rRNA from 1 species